UACAGAGGGUGCGAGCGUUAAUCGGAAUUACUGGGCGUAAAGCGUGCGUAGACGGUUAUUUAAGUCGGGUGUGAAAGCCCCCGGCUCAACUGGGGAGGGUCAUUCGAUACUGAUUGACUUGAAGGCAGGAGAGGGUAGUGGAAUUCCCGGUGUAGUGGUGAAAUGCGUAGAUAUCGGGAGGAACACCAGUGGCGAAGGCGACUACCUGGCCUGUUCUUGACGCUGAGGCGCGAAAGCUGGGGGAGCAAACGGG
rnacentral:rRNA from 1 species